AUUGAACGCUGGCGGCAGGCCUAACACAUGCAAGUCGAACGCGUCGCGGACGGGUGAGUAAGGACUGUGACACUUCCUGAUGGAUGGGGUUAACUACUGGACACGGUUGCUGAUACCGCCUCCCAUCUGCUGUGCCCAGUUGGGAUUAGCUUGUUGGUGGGGUAACGGCUCACCAAGGCGACGAUCCCUAGCUGGUCUGAGAGGAUGACCAGCCACACUGGAACUGAGACACGGUCCAGACUCCGACGGGAGGCAGCAGUGGGGAAUAUUGAACAAUGGGCGAAAGCCUGAUGCAGCCAGGCCGCGUGUAUGAAGAAGGCCUUCGGGUUGUAAAGUACUUUAAGCUGGGAGGCGUUACCCGCAGAAUAAGCACCGGCUAACUCCGUGCCAGCAGCCGCGGUAAUAC
rnacentral:rRNA from 1 species